UACGGGGGGAGCAAGCGUUGUUCGGAUUUACUGGGCGUAAAGGGCUCGUAGGCGGCCAACUAAGUCAUACGUGAAAUCCCUCAGCUUAACUGGGGAACUGCGUGUGAUACUGGAUGGCUUGGAUUUGGGAGAGGGAUGCGGAAUUCCAGGUGUAGCGGUGAAAUGCGUAGAUAUCUGGAGGAACAUCAGUGGCGAAGGCGGCUUCCUGGACCAAUACUGACGAUCAGGUGCGAAAGCGUGGGGAGCAAACAGG
rnacentral:rRNA from 1 species